AGACCAGUUCUCAUACAAUCACAGAAGUUAAGCAAGAUCAAGCCUAGUCAGUACCUAGAUAGGUGACCACUUGGAAAUCCCAGGUGGUGUAA